CGUAGUGUAGUGGUUAUCACGUUCGCCUCACACGCGAAAGGUCCCCGGUUCGAAACCGGGCGGGAACAACCCCUUUUUCCUCAAACUUACCUUCAUGCAGCCAAAUCAAACAGAGGAGGGGACGGGGCGUGGAGGUGCGGUCGCAGCUGCAUUUUCCAUUCACGAGAAACGUGGCACAACUUCAGUUACUCAGCCCUAGGAAACAAGCCUCGGUUGUCUGCUCUCAGUCACAAUGGAGACCGCGACACAGUAAGUCCAAGGCGGGCGCAGGACUAGGCUGACUUCAGCCUACCUUGGGAUCCAGAGAGCCCCGAACCUUCUCCUCUGUCGCCGAAAUCUUCUCGACAGGCUGACAGUAUUUUCAAGAUGAAGCUUCUGUUCCUGUCAUCUAUUCAGGAACAAAGGUUUCCCCAAGAAUAAAAGGAAGACUUUCUUAUUCAAACCACAGUCCAAGGAGUGGCAAACACCAACAGCAAGUAUGCAUAGAGAACACAAUUUUAUGAUUAGCAAGAGAGUUAACCAAGGUAAAACUUGAAUUUCAAUCCCUAGCCUAGAGAAAAAAGGUAAGAAACCUUUUCAUUUUCUAAGGGAAGUGUAUUUCAUGAUAUUUAUGAUUGUGAUUAGGCGGGAAAGGG
rnacentral:lncRNA from 1 species